CUUACGAGCCCCUAACCAACAAUGCAGUUUAAACAAAUGAGGAUAAGAAUAAGAAAUAAAAGUAACAAGUAAUUAAAAAGCAGUGAUAAAAUACAGAGUCAAUGUGGAGGCUAUAUACAGGACCGGUACAGAGUCAAUGUGGAGGCUAUAUACAGGGGGUACCGGUACAGAGUCAAUGUGGAGGCUAUAUACAGGGGGUACCGGUACAGAGUCAAUGUGGAGACUAUAUACAGGGGGUACCGGUACAGAGUCAAGGUGGAGACUAUAUACAGGGGGUACCGGUACAGAGUCAAUGUGGAGACUAUAUACAGGGGGUAUCGGUACAGAGUCAAUGUGGAGGCUAUAUACAGGGGGUACCGGUACAGAGUCAAUGUGGAGGCUAUAUACAGGGGGUACCGGUACAGAGUCAAUGUGGAGGCUAUAUACAGGGGGUACCGGUACAGAGUCAAUGUGGAGACUAUAUACAGGGGGUACCGGUACAGAGUCAAUGUGGAGGCUAUAUACAGGGGGUACCGGGACAGAGUCAAUGUGGAGGCUAUAUACAGGG
ensembl:lncRNA